AGGAUAGAGGCGCGGUGCGCAUCAGUACCUUCGGAGCGAAACAGGAUGCUCCGGAGCGAAAGGGCAAGCCGCCGAAGGGUCGUGUUUCUUGCCUGAAAGGGACACGAUGACCUGGGUCGUCGGAGAAUAUCCGCCGGACUGCCACAAUGUGGAGCGCUAUCGA
rnacentral:ncRNA from 1 species